ncrna:unclassified sequences RAGATH-18 RNA
CCUACGGAGAGUACAAGAACUUGUAAUUAGUAGUAAUACGAAAGCAUACUCGUUGAAGUAGGAA